AAGUCUUUCUUCCAGCUGCUCUCCCACGAGGAACAUAAGAAGCAGUUUCAUCAUCCUUCCUCUGACCCCUUGAUUGGAGCCUGGAGGAUGGAAGACAAGAUGAAAACAAUGUACUUUGUGGAGAGUCCUGUCCAAAUGUGGAUUGCCCAUAUUUGACCGUAAGAACAGAAAUCAGGCUUUGUCUUUCUUAGAUGUUUGGUUCCUGCCUACAGUAACUGAACCAGAAUUCCCACGGACUCUAAUACAAUUUCUAAAG
rnacentral:lncRNA from 1 species